ensembl:snoRNA SNORA11G small nucleolar RNA, H/ACA box 11G
GGGGUGUGCUCAGAGCAAGCAAGUUUUAAGAGUGGCUCCUCUGUUUUCAACACAUCCAAGAGAAAUCUUUGUUUACUCCUCACAGGUGGGGGACCUUCUUGUGACAUCAUGCCCUAUAUGU